GUCCAGACUGACUAACUACUCUCUAACUUUUCCUACACACCACACACGCUAAACGAAUGAUGUAUAAUGUGAGCGAGGAAAGUGUAAAAAAACCGGAGGUGGGGGACAGUAAGGAGGAGGCGGAGGAGUAGAAGGUUGAUGAGGAGGAGCAGGAGGAGGAGGAGGAGGUGGAGCUGGACAGAAAAGGAGUUGGAGGGAAUGCCCUGAUGACAGAAGGCGAGGCACAACCCUGGCCUGCCAACGGCGCCGAUGGAGAUGGGGAUACCGAGCCCCCAAAGCCCGUCAGACCUCCCUCUUCUUAGUGAUCCCAAUUCCCAUAAUUGCCCGGGUCUGCUUGACGAGCCAUCUAGCGCAGCUGCGCUGAACGCCCGGUCCGCCCACAACACACUGGAGAUGAGAGGCACUCGCUGGAAGCGUUCUGCUUCUUCCCCCACACAUCCCAACGUAGUGGCUUAUUUCCAUGCAGAAACAGUAAAACAAGUAUGGAGUAUGAAAGCCAUCCAUCUGCUCCGGGAAUUAAGAUGCUAGACAUGUAUUUGUUUGGAUAUGACAAGUGACAAGUGGAAAUCCUUGGCUGAGCGAUGUGCCUGAUAUGCACGGUUACUAUCAGGAUAUCACGUUGCAUAAAAUAUUGAAGAUCAUAAAUAAAACAUUUGAGUGUA
ensembl:lncRNA